rfam:Pteropus alecto contig62804, whole genome shotgun sequence.
GUGCUUGCUUCGGCAGCACAUACAUUAAAAUUGGAACAAUACAGAAGAUUAGCAUGGCCCCUAUGCGAGGAUGACACGCAAAUUCAUGAAACGUUCCAUGUUUUU